CAAUGCGAAGCGAAGCAGCGAUGUGAAGCAAAUCGCACCAAAGCCGGUCCCAGUUCGGAUAAGAGGCUGAAACUCGCCUCUUUGAAGUCGGAAUCGCUAGUAAUCGCAGAUCAGCAUGUUGCGGUGAAUACGUUUCCUGGUCUUGUACACACCGCCCGUCAAACCAUGAGAGUCGCCAACACCCGAAGUCCGCUUUGCGGCCUAAGGUGGGGGAGAUGAUUGGGGUUAAGUCGUAACAAGGUAUC
rnacentral:rRNA from 1 species